rnacentral:lncRNA from 1 species
AUUAUGCUGUGAUCUCGUGCUGAUCGAGAGCAAGAGAUAAUGGCAUAGCUGGGAACUAGAGUCCACCUUGUCGAGUCUGAAUCCAGUUCUGUCUCUGGCUAUCUGUGUGACUUUGGGCAAGUCACAACUUCUCUGAGCAUCAUCUAUCUGAUCUGUAGCAAUGCCUUAUGGUGUUAUCUUGAUGAUCUGAUGAGAGGAUGUGUAUGUACAAAACAGGUGAUAGUUUCUUUCUUUCUUUUUUUUUUAAUCUUUUCCCUGAUUGGCAGGAUGUAUGCCUUUGAUUAACAGAUACCGAGAAAACAAAUUUCUUGCUAUGCUCUGAGAUUCAACACGUAAGCAGAAUUGAGAACACCAAAUUCUGUUUGAGGGGCAGAGGUCUAAGAAGGCUUCAUAGAGGAGGUGAUGAUGGAGCCAGGCCGUAUCAGGUAAGUAGGAGUUCCUGAGAUAGACAAGGGUGUGUGAGGCGAAGGGAGCACCAUAGGCAUGCAGGUGUGAUGGAGGUUGGUGUGCCCCAGACCAGCGAGCAGCUUGGGCUGGUGGGGCUUUUGCUGGAUAAGAAUCAGCACUGUGAGGUUGAGAUAGAAGGAAGCCUUGCACCCUCCUCCUGAAGAGGGUGGGAGCCAUGGAAGGGACUGAGCAGAGCAGUGAAAUGACUACAUCUGUGUUUUCUAAAGAAUACAUUGCCAUUUGUCAUCUUUAAAGUUGAUCCCUCACUGGUCCCCUCUGAUCCAAUCACAGGUGAAUUUUCGAAAAACCAAGUCUGGCCGAGUGUGGUGGCUCAUGCCUGUAAUCCCAGCAGCUCAGGAGGCUGAGGCAGGAAGAUCGAGAGUUCAAAGCCAGCCUCAGCAAAACCCGAGGCACUAAACAACUCAGUGAGACCCUAUCUCUAAAUAAAAUACAAAAAAUAGGGCUGGAAUUUGGUUCAGUAGUCAAGUGCCCCUGAGUUCAAUCCCUGGUACAAAAAAAAAAAAAAAAAAAACCUGACCAUUUUAUCCCCCCGUUUAAAAUCAUUUAUUGAACAAAUUAUUUUUAUUGAACAAAUUGUUUUAUUUAAUAAAUGAUGGAUUAAAGAAUAAAUGGAUGGAG